UGGCCCUAAAAAGCAAAAAAAAAAAAAAAAAAAAAAAAAAAAUUGAGCCUUAAGCCGCUCAAGAUAUUUUCACUGAAAGGCAGAGCUGUUCUUGCUGAUCAUUUAAAGGAUUGCACUUCUCCCUCUAUUCAAGUUAAAGCUGCCCUUUGUCUUACCUCUACUGGUACAGAAGCAAAUCAGUGGCUCUGCCCAUCUGGAUAGGUGGCCCUUCCCCCUGGGCUGAGGCGAUUUGCUCCUCUGUCCUUAAGGCUUCCUUCUGCCCGCAGAGGAUGGGAGAUGCUGGCAUCUGGAAAGGCUGAGUGAGAACAGGCAAGACCGGCCGAAGUCUUCUGUGAAGAGAGGAAAAAACUGAUGAUAAACAUGGUCCCAACUCUCUACCUCUCCCUGGACCCAUACGCUUUGCUGUGUGAUUUAAAGUGAAUUCCCACCAAGACACAGAGGCUGUUUCUGCACCACUUGAAUCUGGGCCAACGUUUGUGAUUUGUCUUAGCCAGUAGAAUGUUCUGGAAAAAUAAUGUACCAGGCUAAAGCCUAAAGCGGCUUUGUGUGCUUCUGCCCAGCAGCCAUGCAGACAAGCCCGGGAGGCCUGCUGGAGGAUGAGAAGCCUUGUGGAGCAGAGAUGGCUCCUCCCAGCUGGCCCCCAUCUGACCUGCCCACUGACCACAGGAGCCUGGCUGCUGCCAGCAGUGCCUGCCCAGAUCAGCAAAGCUUCCCAGUGGACCCAACGUUUUGUGGUUUAAAAAAAAAAAAAGGCUAUGGGAGUGUGAGCGAGACCAAUGAGAAAGGAACGUGCUAAACAGAGGGAAUGAUUUUUCUCCUCUGGAUGGAAUGAGGUGACCAUGGGGACCCACCUAUAGGGGAAGAUGUGGCAGAAAGACAAUGAAUUCAUUAAUGUCCUCGUG